UGGAAGUAAAAAGUCGUAACAAGGUCUCCGUUGGUGAACCAGCGGAGGGAUCAUUGCUGGAACGCGCCCCAGGCGCACCCAGAAACCCUUUGUGAACUUAUACCUUUUGUUGCCUCGGCGCUGCUGGUCUCUAGUAGGCCCCUCACUUCGGUGAGGAAAAGGCACGCCGGCGGCCAAAUCAACUCUGUUUUUACACUGAAACUCUGAGAAAAAACACAAAUGAAUCAAAACUUUCAACAACGGAUCUCUUGGUUCUGGCAUCGAUGAAGAACGCAGCGAAAUGCGAUAAGUAAUGUGAAUUGCAGAAUUCAGUGAAUCAUCGAAUCUUUGAACGCACAUUGCGCCCUCUGGUAUUCCGGAGGGCAUGCCUGUUCGAGCGUCAUUUCAACCCUCAAGCAUUGCUUGGUGUUGGGGCACUGCUUCUAACGAAGCAGGCCCUGAAAUCUAGUGGCGAGCUCGCCAGGACCCCGAGCGCAGUAGUUAAACCCUCGCUCUGGAAGGCCCUGGCGGUGCCCUGCCGUUAAACCCCCAACUUCUGAAAAUUUGACCUCGGAUCAGGUAGGAAUACCCGCUGAACUUAAGCAUAUCAAUAAGCGGAGGAA
rnacentral:rRNA from 1 species